rnacentral:lncRNA from 1 species
UAUAAAUAUUAAUCAUGUAACAUCCUUUCAGGAAGGAGCCAUUCAUAUUACCCUUUGACGGAUGAGGAAAAUUGAUAUAUGGCAAGAAAAGUGGCAGAGCUGAUGUUUGAAACUCAAAUUUCAGAGACAGAAUCUCCCUUUGGUACCCAGGCUGGCCUCGAAUUCCUAAGCUCAAACAAUCCUCCUGCCUCAGCCUCCUAGAAGAUAGGACUAUAAGCAUCACUUGGAUUGGUACAUCCCCAUCUUUGGAGGAAGUCUGCGAUGAAGCCUUGUGUAAGUCAGUCACAGUGUUAAACUGAACCCAGGAGAUUUCACAGGUAUUCAAUUGACCCAGCACCAUUUAUUGAAAAGGCUAUCCUCUUACUGAAAUGCAGCAAAGUUGUUGUCUUAAAUCAGGUCAUCAAACAUUUGAUUUCAAGUGCAGAAUCAAAGACAUAUAACCAUAAUAAAAUGCAAAAUCACAAGCCCUCAGAAUCAGAAGGGAUGUCAAGGAAAAUGCCUUCCCUCUCUCCACCUCUCUGAAUGCAGAACACUGAAGCUUCUGUGCAUCUGGUGAGCACGUGGUACAGAAUUGCAAGUUUCAUGAGCCCUGAUUAACUUCUCAUAGAGGCUGGCUGUGUUAGACUUUUGCUAAGGCCAAGAGUUUUAUUUUGUUCUAUCCUAUUUCAUUAUUAUAAAAAUCUGGAGAGUUGCUUAUUAUUAUGAACUCCUGUUUGAAGAUAUGGAAAUGAGGAAAAUGAAGACCUAUGGUACUUUUUUAAAAGUGAUACUAUAAAUAAGGAAUAAAAUGUGAAGUUGUGUGGUUGCCUGGAGUUCUUCUGCUUCCCUCAUCCAUAUCAACACAUACAAAUAAAUAAACUCCUGAGUACAUUCAUAUUCUAGGUAUUAAUACUGUUUCACCAAUUAUACACAGCAAGCUCAACAUAGCCAUCUUUCUUCAUCCAUAAUUUUUUCAGUGAUAAAUUUUCGUCAGUGAUGAAAGGCUCAGCUGGAAAAUUCUGCUUAAGAUCUCUCACAUAAUUGUAGUUAGAUAUUGG